ACCUCCAUCAGGACUUCUGAAUCUCCUUCAGUUUCUCCUCUUUGCUGUCAGAAAUGUUUCCCUUCAGAAUAAAAGCCCGUGAAGUGGGGUUUGUGUCUGAAACGUUUAGCCGAGCUCCAGUCCUCCAGAGGCUUCGUUAGCGUGACCUGAACAUGUAAACAAACAUCUCAACCAGAAGUAAACGAGGUUUAGAUGAAGAGGAUUCUGGCCCGUUUUGGCUCCAGGGAGGUUCUGUGCAGACGGGUCAGAUCGGGUCAGAUCGGAGCUGCACGCCCUGCAGCGCUGGCGGCCCGGCAGAAUUGCUGCCCUGUUUUCAUUCCAGCGCUCCGGAGGAACUGCUUUCGCUCCGAGGAGAAAUCCAUAUUUCCUGAAUCCCAAUCAGGAAGCUGGGAGUUCCUGCUGCUGUUUUCACUCCAGAAGAAAACAAGUUGAGGUACAAACUGUUUCUGGACCAGAACAUGUGCAGCUCCAGUUCUUCUGUGCAGGAACAUGGAGUGAUUUACACUCCGAUUUCAGCCACAUUAAAAGCUCCUCAAACGCAAACAUCAGGAGCUUCAGCAGCAAAAACAAACAGCCGGCCGGAUGGGAACCGAGCCCGCUCCGCAUUCUUCCACCGAUGGAUUUUUCAUUUGUUCUGAGGGUUCUGCUUCUGCAUUUAAUAAAUAUAAAUUAGCCUGAGGAGGGAACAAAUCCUGAGAUACUGAGAGUCAUGAGGAGAGAGGCGAUGGAUGAGGAGCAGGACAGAUUCAGUGAGUUCUGGCCGCAUGCGGUUGACUGACUGCAUCAGGAGGAGGAGGAAGACGAGGAGGAAGGAGGCAUGGCAUUAAGACCAAACCGCUCCGGAUGGCUGAGAGCAGAAACUGGAUCGGUCUCCUGACCACACGUCUGGUUGUGCAUUAAUGUGUUUGAGAAAGCAGGAGUCAGGAGCAGUUUAAACCGACAACGUUGGGUUAUGUAGACACAGUGGAGGUCUGCAGCCCCGAGCCGUCCAGCAGGCAGGACGUCAUUUAUCCUGAGGUUUACUUUGUAAACCAUCAGAUCCAUCUCUGCAAAACUUUCCAACACACAGUGAGGUCCCGGCACCGAAGCCUGAACCAGGCCGGGCCGUUUCCUACCUGAGACUUCCAAACACGCUCUGUCAUCAGUUUGGAUGCAGAUACACAGCAGGUUUGAGUCCCAGAGGCGUCACCAGGUCUCCUCCACCCAAACCUGGACCAGAGCCAGCGCUCAUUUGGCCGCCCGGCCGCAGACCCCGGGCGCAGUUCCCCGACCCAAUCAGAACCGUCACAGCCUGUCGUCCAGACCCACAAUUAGAUUUGAGCUCCAGACCCGAGUAACACGCCAGCGCAGACUGAAUCUGUUAACAAGAUGCCUACACUGCAGCUUCCAGCCUUACCAGGGGCACAGAGAGCCCAACACGACCCCUGACUGGGGAUCCAUUACUGUAACUCUGCAGCAGCGUUUCCCCAAAGCCAGAGGCUCUCCACAGUCGGGUCGCUGCCUCGCUGUGAUCCCUCAAUUCCCAGAAUUCCCACCCGCAUCGCCCCCGCCUGCAGAGCAAGAAUGGAUGGAUGGAUCCUCUCCAUAAAUAACCAGCAGAGCGGAGCCAAACCCCCACCGUGUUUUUCCCCUCCACGCUUUGUUUCAGAGCCCGGACAGAGAGCGGCCGCGUCCAAACCUGCUGGAUCCACCGAGCGGGACCGCAAAUCCUUGGCACACACUGGGAUAAAGAAAAAACAGGAGCGUGGAGUUUGGGUAAAUAGAGGCUAACAACACGCAGAGCGACGGGGAGCGACAGGGAGCAACGGGGAGCGACAGAGCCGCCAUCUGGGGCAACCCGAAAGAUUUAUAAACAAAACUAAAGCUAAACUUCAUAAUGCAGAAAAAACUCUGCUGGACGAUCUGGAAAUAAAACCGAACCAAGACUCGAUGUGAAGCCGCCACGCAGCUCGAUGUUACUCAGCUGGAAUAUUCACCUUUCCCAACCACUGGAUAGGAAAAUCUGGACGAUCUGGAUCCAGAGGGGCUCCAGACGGAUUGACCCCUCCACCAUCAGGGCUCAUUAAGUUCUGACGGUGGCAGUCAUAUUUCAGCCACCUGAAAGCCUCCUUGUGCAGCUCAAGGCUCGGCUUUAUUCGGCCCCAGUGAUACCAGUGACCCGGAGGCUGUGGAGAACAAGGCCGUAAAAGUCUAGAUUGUGCUGCACAGGCUCACAGUGAAUGAACUGGGUGCCAAGGCCGUUUUUAAAAGCUCCCAGUUCAAUGUGGGCUGUGUCUCAGGGCCCGGCCGCUCGUUGCCGGGACCACCUUCCCCCUGUGAGCCACCGGCCUCCAGACGGCUCCGGCGUCGGGCCGCGGAGCCAACCGUUCAUCAUUCUGUCACCGGCUGCUGCAGGAUAAUGCCUCAGUGUCGGCAGCGCUUUUAAAAUUCCAGCCACACGCCGAUCCCUGCGAACAGAUCCGCUCUGAGACACUGAAAGAUUCCUGGCAGAAACCGAUCCACCACUUAUCGUAGAGGAUUUCUGCUGCUUUCAGGAGCGUUAGCAACAAAAAACUGGAGCGAUUUCAUCGAGCGUUAGCAACGAAAAACUGGAGCGUUUUCAUCGAGCGUUAGCAACUAAAAACUGGAGCGUUUUUAUUGAGCGUUAGCAACUAAAAACUGGAGCGUUUUUAUUGAGCGUUAGCAAUGAAAAACUGGAGCGAUUUCAUUGAGCGUUAGCAACUAAAAACUGGAGCGUUUUUAUUGAGCGUUAGCAACAAAAAACUGGAGCGUUUUCAUCGAGCGUUAGCAACAAAAAACUGGAGCGUUUUUAUUGAGCGUUAGCAACAAAAAACUGGAGCGAUUUCAUCGAGCGUUAGCAACUAAAAACUGGAGCGUUUUCAUCGAGCGUUAGCAACAAAAAACUGGAGCGUUUUCAUCGAGCGUUAGCAACAAAAAACUGGAGCGUUUUUAUUGAGCGUUAGCAACAAAAAACUGGAGCGAUUUCAUCGAGCGUUAGCAACUAAAAACUGGAGCGUUUUUAUUGAGCGUUAGCAACAAAAAACUGGAGCGAUUUCAUCGAGCGUUAGCAACUAAAAACUGGAGCGUUUUUAUUGAGCGUUAGCAACAAAAAACUGGAGCGAUUUCAUCGAGCGUUAGCAACUAAAAACUGGAGCGUUCAGACCCGAAUGCUUUACACAAACCGUUAAAAACACUCAUGAAAAACGGCUUUUAAACAUUUUAGUGUUGAAAUCUAGACAGAUUUUAUUAUGUUAAAAUAGACAACUAGCAACAUAAAACAUAUUAUUCUUUAGCUUCUGUUGUUUUGCUCAAUACCAGUGAAUAAUUUAUUCAUAAGGCGCUCGGAUGAAUAAUUCAUCAAAUCUAAUCUCAGGUGAAAAAAAACACUCAACAGAUUAAACUCUGAUUCAUUAUAACAAAAGGUUCUGGAAUAAUGGAAACGCUGAGUGGAAAACUAAGUACACCCUUUCUGCUCUGGAGCCACAGGUGUACUAACUUAACGCCUAGAGAGGAACAGCAUUUCCAAGAUGAUAAUAACACUAAUAAUAAAUUAAAAUAAAUGAAAGUAACAUUUUUAAAAUAA